AGUGAACGCUGGCGGUAGGCCUAACACAUGCAAGUCGAACGGCAGCACAGUAAGAGCUUGCUCUUACGGGUGGCGAGUGGCGGAAGGGUGAGGAAUACAUCGGAAUCUACUUUUUCGUGGGGGAUAACGUAGGGAAACUUACGCUAAUACCGCAUACGACCUUCGGGUGAAAGCAGGGGAUCUUCGGACCUUGCGCGAUUGAAUGAGCCGAUGUCGGAUUAGCUAGUUGGCGGGGUAAAGGCCCACCAAGGCGACGAUCCGUAGCUGGUCUGAGAGGAUGAUCAGCCACACUGGAACUGAGACACGGUCCAGACUCCUACGGGAGGCAGCAGUGGGGAAUAUUGGACAAUGGGCGCAAGCCUGAUCCAGCCAUACCGCGUGGGUGAAGAGGGCCUUCGGGUUGUAAAGCCCUUUUGUUGGGAAAGAAAAGCAGCAGGUUAAUACCCCGCUGUUCUGACGGUACCCAAAGAAUAAGCACCGGCUAACUUCGUG
rnacentral:rRNA from 1 species